rnacentral:rRNA from 1 species
UACGUAGGGUCCGAGCGUUGUCCGGAAUUAUUGGGCGUAAAGGGCUCGUAGGCGGUUUGUCGCGUCUGCUGUGAAAACCUGGGGCUUAACCCCGGGCCUGCAGUGGGUACGGGCAGACUAGAGUGCGGUAGGGGAGACUGGAAUUCCUGGUGUAGCGGUGAAAUGCGCAGAUAUCAGGAGGAACACCGGUGGCGAAGGCGGCCUUCUGGACAGCAUCUGACGCUGAGACGCGAAAGCGUGGGGAGCAAACAGG